UGUUUGGGAAUGCAGCUCUAAGACGGUGGUAAACUCCAUCGAAAGCUAAAUAUGGUUGGGAGACCAAUAGCACACAAGUACCAUGAGGGAAAGAUGAAAAGAACUUUGAAAAGAGAGUUAAAGAGUACCUGAAAUUGCUAAGGAGGAAGCAAAGGGAAGCAGUGAUUCUUGACCUGGUUUAUUGCUAGUUUGUGCUUGCACAAGUGAGUAUUAUGCCAGGUUGUACCUUGUUUGAUCAGCUAUCACAUCCAGAGCAUGGAACCUGCACCACGACUAGUUUGUGUAGCAGUGCAUCUGCUCUGGCACUGGCAGUUGUUUAUUUCAGACAAUAUGCUUCUCUUUUCCCCGUCUUGAAACACGGACC
rnacentral:rRNA from 1 species